rnacentral:rRNA from 1 species
AAGACGAGAAGACCCUGUCGAGCUUAAUUAAAAUUAUUUGUUUUUGAUAAUUAGAAUUUUUGUUGGGGCAAUAUAGACCAAAAUAACGGUUUAAUUAUUUAAUAAAGAUCCUUUGUUGAAAGAAAAUAGCAAAAGCUACCGCAGGGAUAACAGCGUUAUCCUUCUUAAGAGAUCGAAUUGAGGGAAGGGUUUGCGACCUCGAUGUUG